CCUUUGAUAUGAUGAACUAGCUUCUAAUACAGUUAUCCCUGUCUGAAACACUUUGUGUGGAUAUAGUCUAAAGUCUGACCGUUGC
rnacentral:snoRNA from 1 species